GGAGCAUACAUUAAUGGUGAUAAGUAGUCUUGAAAACUAUGAGGAGGUAAUACUCUACAGAGUUCGAUUCUCUGGUGCUCCUCCA
rnacentral:tRNA from 1 species